rnacentral:rRNA from 1 species
UACGAAGGGGGCUAGCGUUGCUCGGAAUCACUGGGCGUAAAGCGCACGUAGGCGGCUUUCUAAGUCAGAGGUGAAAUCCCGGAGCUCAACUCCGGAACUGCCUUUGAUACUGGAAAGCUUGAGUUCGGGAGAGGUGAGUGGAACUGCGAGUGUAGAGGUGAAAUUCGCAGAUAUUCGCAAGAACACCAGUGGCGAAGGCGGCUCACUGGCCCGAUACUGACGCUGAGGUGCGAAAGCGUGGGGAGCAAACAGG